GCCAGGCACAGUGGCACAUGCCUGUAGUCCCAGCUGCUCGGGAGGCUGAGGUGGGAGGAUCGCUUGAGCCCAGGAGUUCUGGGCAGUAGUGUGCUAUGCCAAUCGGGUGUCCACACUAAGUUCAGCAUCAAUACGGUGACCUCCCAGGAGCAGGGGGAGCAGGUCAAACUUCCUGUGCCGAUCAGUAGAGGGAUUGCGCCUAUGAAUAGCCACUGCACUCCAGCCUGGCUAACAUAGUGAGACCCCAUCUCU
rnacentral:SRP_RNA from 1 species